AACGAACGCUGGCGGCGCGCCUAAUACAUGCAAGUCGAGCGAGAAGGUGUAGCAAUACACUUGUAAAGCGGCGAACGGGUGAGGAAUACAUGGGUAAUCUACCAUCGAGUGGGGAAUAACCAGCCGAAAGGUUGGCUAAUACCGCGUACGCUUCCGAGUCUUCGGGCUUGGAAGGAAAGCCGCACUGUGAGUGCGGCGCUCUUUGAUGAGCUCAUGUCCUAUCAGCUUGUUGGUAGGGUAACGGCCUACCAAGGCUUUGACGGGUAGCUGGUCUGAGAGGACGAUCAGCCACACUGGCACUGCGACACGGGCCAGACUCCUACGGGAGGCAGCAGUAAGGAAUAUUGCGCAAUGGGCGAAAGCCUGACGCAGCGACGCCGCGUGGGGGAUGAAGGUCUUCGGAUUGUAAACCCCUUUCAUGAGGAAAGAUAAAGUGGGUAACCACUUAGACGGUACCUCAAGAAGAAGCCACGGCUAACUUCGUGCCAGCAGCCG
rnacentral:rRNA from 1 species